rnacentral:rRNA from 1 species
GAGUUUGAUCCUGGCUCAGAUUGAACGCUGGCGGCAUGCCUUACACAUGCAAGUCGGACGGCAGCGCGGGAGCAAUCCUGGCGGCGAGUGGCGAACGGGUGAGUAAUACAUCGGAACGUGUCCUGGAGUGGGGGAUAGCCCGGCGAAAGCCGGAUUAAUACCGCAUACGCUCUAUGGAGGAAAGCGGGGGACCUUCGGGCCUCGCGCUCAAGGGGCGGCCGAUGGCGGAUUAGCUAGUUGGUGGGGUAAAGGCCUACCAAGGCGACGAUCCGUAGCUGGUCUGAGAGGACAACCAGCCACACUGGGACUGAGACACGACCCAGACUCCUACGGGAGGCAGCAGUGGGGAAUUUUGGACAAUGGGGGCAACCCUGAUCCAGCAAUGCCGCGUGUGUGAAGAAGGCCUUCGGGUUGUAAGGCACUUUUGUCCGGAAAGAAAUCAUCCUGUCGAAUAAACGGGGUGGAUGACGGUACCGGAAGAAUAAGCACCGGCUAACUACGUGCCAGCAGCCGCGGUAAUACGUAGGGUGCGAGCGUUAAUCGGAAUUACUGGGCGUAAAGCGUGCGCAGGCGGUGAUGUAAGACCGAUGUGAAAUCCCCGGGCUUAACCUGGGAACUGCAUUGGUGACUGCAUCGCUGGAGUAUGGCAGAGGGGGGUGGGAAUUCCACGUGUAGCAGUGAAAUGCGUAGAGAUGUGGGAGGAACACCGAUGGCGAAGGCAGCCCCGUGCGCCAAUACUUGACGCUCAUGCACGAAGCGUGGCCAGCAGACCGAUUACAUACCCUGGUAUUCCACCCCCUAACGAUGUCACCUGGUUGUCGGGCAUCUC